CAAAUGCAAUUACAACUGUGAAUUGCUUAACUCUCGGAUCCAUCAAAUCUGCAAACCCCUGCGAUACCCCAUGGGAUCUGGAGAGUUCAGACUGUCCUAGCGUCUUUUCACCUCUCUUGCCUGGCUUGGCGUUGGGAGAGGUCCACUUUGGGGAGGCUCCUGAAAUCCUGAACACCCUUCCUUUCGGCUUUUUCGACCAUCAAACGGAUUUUGGAGUUGUAGGCGUCUUUUCUGCCUGCUCAUCUAAUCGAACUCCUCACGUCCGAGUUAGCGGGGAUUGCCGUUGAGCUUAAUCAUAUCAAUAAGUUGUAUCAACUCCUUGGAUUUUUGGCGCUGUACACCUGCUUCUAAUCGUCUCAUUGACUCCGAUGGGUGUUCCGGUCUCCGCCGAUUUUUCUGUGAUCGGCUAGGACUCCCCACACAACUCUUGACCUCAAAUCGGGGUGAGACUACCCGCUGAACUUAAUCAUAUCAAUAAGCGGA
rnacentral:rRNA from 1 species